CCCGGCGAGGGGAGUGAAAAAGAACCUGAAACCGUGUACGUACAAGCAGUGGGAGCACGCUUAGGCGUGUGACUGCGUACCUUUUGUAUAAUGGGUCAGCGACUUAUAUUCUGUAGCAAGGUUAACCGAAUAGGGGAGCCGAAGGGAAACCGAGUCUUAACUGGGCGUUAAGUUGCAGGGUAUAGACCCGAAACCCGGUGAUCUAGCCAUGGGCAGGUUGAAGGUUGGGUAACACUAACUGGAGGACCGAACCGACUAAUGUUGAAAAAUUAGCGGAUGACUUGUGGCUGGGGGUGAAAGGCCAAUCAAACCGGGAGAUAGCUGGUUCUCCCCGAAAGCUAUUUAGGUAGCGCCUCGUGAAUUCAUCUCCGGGGGUAGAGCACUGUUUCGGCAAGGGGGUCAUCCCGACUUACCAACCCGAUGCAAACUGCGAAUACCGGAGAAUGUUAUCACGGGAGACACACGGCGGGUGCUAACGUCCGUCGUGAAGAGGGAAACAACCCAGACCGCCAGCUAAGGUCCCAAAGUCAUGGUUAAGUGGGAAACGAUGUGGGAAGGCCCAGACAGCCAGGAUGUUGGCUUAGAAGCAGCCAUCAUUUAAAGAAAGCGUAAUAGCUCACUGGUCGAGUCGGCCUGCGCGGAAGAUGUAACGGGGCUAAACCAUGCACCGAAGCUGCGGCAGCGACGCUUAUGCGUUGUUGGGUAGGGGAGCGUUCUGUAAGCCUGCGAAGGUGUGCUGUGAGGCAUGCUGGAGGUAUCAGAAGUGCGAAUGCUGACAUAAGUAACGAUAAAGCGGGUGAAAAGCCCGCUCGCCGGAAGACCAAGGGUUCCUGUCCAACGUUAAUCGGGGCAGGGUGAGUCGACCCCUAAGGCGAGGCCGAAAGGCGUAGUCGAUGGGAAACAGGUUAAUAUUCCUGUACUUGGUGUUACUGCGAAGGGGGGACGGAGAAGGCUAUGUUGGCCGGGCGACGGUUGUCCCGGUUUAAGCGUGUAGGCUGGUUUUCCAGGCAAAUCCGGAAAAUCAAGGCUGAGGCGUGAUGACGAGGCACUACGGUGCUGAAGCAACAAAUGCCAUGCUUCCAGGAAAAGCCUCUAAGCAUCAGGUAACAUCAAAUCGUACCCCAAACCGACACAGGUGGUCAGGUAGAGAAUACCAAGGCGCUUGAGAGAACUCGGGUGAAGGAACUAGGCAAAAUGGUGCCGUAACUUCGGGAGAAGGCACGCUGAUAUGUAGGUGAAGCGACUUGCUCGUGGAGCUGAAAUCAGUCGAAGAUACCAGCUGGCUGCAACUGUUUAUUAAAAACACAGCACUGUGCAAACACGAAAGUGGACGUAUACGGUGUGACGCCUGCCCGGUGCCGGAAGGUUAAUUGAUGGGGUCAGCGCAAGCGAAGCUCUUGAUCGAAGCCCCGGUAAACGGCGGCCGUAACUAUAACGGUCCUAAGGUAGCGAAAUUCCUUGUCGGGUAAGUUCCGACCUGCACGAAUGGCGUAAUGAUGGCCAGGCUGUCUCCACCCGAGACUCAGUGAAAUUGAACUCGCUGUGAAGAUGCAGUGUACCCGCGGCAAGACGGAAAGACCCCGUGAACCUUUACUAUAGCUUGACACUGAACAUUGAGCCUUGAUGUGUAGGAUAGGUGGGAGGCUUUGAAGUGUGGACGCCAGUCUGCAUGGAGCCGACCUUGAAAUACCACCCUUUAAUGUUUGAUGUUCUAACGUUGACCCGUAAUCCGGGUUGCGGACAGUGUCUGGUGGGUAGUUUGACUGGGGCGGUCUCCUCCUAAAGAGUAACGGAGGAGCACGAAGGUUGGCUAAUCCUGGUCGGACAUCAGGAGGUUAGUGCAAUGGCAUAAGCCAGCUUGACUGCGAGCGUGACGGCGCGAGCAGGUGCGAAAGCAGGUCAUAGUGAUCCGGUGGUUCUGAAUGGAAGGGCCAUCGCUCAACGGAUAAAAGGUACUCCGGGGAUAACAGGCUGAUACCGCCCAAGAGUUCAUAUCGACGGCGGUGUUUGGCACCUCGAUGUCGGCUCAUCACAUCCUGGGGCUGAAGUAGGUCCCAAGGGUAUGGCUGUUCGCCAUUUAAAGUGGUACGCGAGCUGGGUUUAGAACGUCGUGAGACAGUUCGGUCCCUAUCUGCCGUGGGCGCUGGAGAACUGAGGGGGGCUGCUCCUAGUACGAGAGGACCGGAGUGGACGCAUCACUGGUGUUCGGGUUGUCAUGCCAAUGGCACUGCCCGGUAGCUAAAUGCGGAAGAGAUAAGUGCUGAAAGCAUCUAAGCACGAAACUUGCCCCGAGAUGAGUUCUCCCUGACUCCUUGAGAGUCCUGAAGGAACGUUGAAGACGACGACGUUGAU
rnacentral:rRNA from 1 species